rnacentral:misc_RNA from 1 species
GCUACUACCGAUUGAAUGGUUUAGCGAGAUGCUCGGAUCGGGCCCAGCUCGUGCGAAAGCAUGUGCCGGAACUGAGAAGAAGUUCAAGCUUGAUCAUUUAGAGGAAGUAAAAGUCGUAACAAGGUUUUCGUAGGUGAACCUGCAGAAGGAUCAAGUUCGGCAGAGCGUCGUGUAGGGUAAGCGUGUAGAUCUCGGUUGUCUCCGUCUCCUUAAUAAAAUACUUUUCCCUCUCUUUUCUUCUUCUCUUCUUCUCUUUUCCUCUUUUCCUUUUCUUCUU